rnacentral:lncRNA from 1 species
GUUACUGUAGAAGUCCUGCUGCUAGAGAAGCUCGGUCAUUGACGAAGUCCGAAAGAAGUUCGAGAUAAAGUCGAUCGUGGCUGGAAGAAGUCUGGAAGAGAUUUGGAGAGUAGUCAAUCACUAUAGAAAAUCGGCAGAUAGUGAAGUUCAGAGAGCAUUUGGAGCAGUCCGAUAGAUGAAUGGAGGAGCUCAUUAUUGGA